rnacentral:rRNA from 1 species
GACGAACGCUGGCGGCGUGCCUAAUACAUGCCAGUAGAACGCUGAAGAGAGGAGCUUACUCUUCUUGGAUGAGUUGCGAACGGGUGAGUAACGCGUAGGUAACCUGCCUUGUAGCGGGGGAUAACUAUUGGAAACGAUAGCUAAUACCGCAUAACAAUGGAUGACACAUGUCAUUUAUUUGAAAGGGGCAAUUGCUCCACUACAAGAUGGACCUGCGUUGUAUUAGCUAGUAGGUGAGGUAAUGGCUCACCUAGGCGACGAUACAUAGCCGACCUGAGAGGGUGAUCGGCCACACUGGGACUGAGACACGGCCCAGACUCCUACGGGAGGAAGCAGUAGGGAAUCUUCGGCAAUGGGGGCAACCCUGACCGAGCAACGCAGCGUGAGGGAAGAAGGUUUUCGGAUCGUAAAGCUCUGUUGUAAGUCAAGAACGGGUGUGAGAGUGGAAAGUUCACACUGUGACGGUAGCUUACCAGAAAGGGACGGCUAACUACGUG